rnacentral:rRNA from 1 species
GACGAACGCUGGCGGCGUGCCUAAUACAUGCAAGUCGAGCGGAACUGGGGGAGCUUUCUCCUUCCAGUUUAGCGGCGGACGGGUGAGUAACACGGGGGCAACCUGCCCUGCAGAUCGGGAUAACUCCGGGAAACCGUUGCUAAUACCGGAUAGUUUGGCGCCACUCGCGAGGCGCAACGGAAAAACGGGUGCGGCUGUCACUGCAGGUCGGUGCCGCGGCGCAUUAGCUAGUUGGGGGGGCAACGGCCCACCAAGGCGACGAUGGGUAGCCGACCUGAGAGGGUGACCGGCCACACUGGGACGGAGACACGGCCCAGACUCCAACGGGAGGCAGCAGUAGGGAAUCUUCCGCAAUGGACGCAAGUCUGACGGAGCAACGCCGCGUGAGUGACGAAGGUUUUCGGAUCGUAAAACUCUGUUGUGAGGGAAGAACACGUACCAACUAACUAUUGGUACCUUGACGGUACCUCACCAGAAAGCCACGGCUAACUACGUGCCAGCCGCCGCCGUAA